rnacentral:rRNA from 1 species
UACGUAGGGUGCAAGCGUUGUCCGGAAUUAUUGGGCGUAAAGAGCUCGUAGCGGUCUGUCGCGUCGGCUGUGAAAUCCCGAGGCUCAACCUCGGGUCUGCAGUCGAUACGGGCAAACUUGAGUGUUGCAGGGGAGACUGGAAUUCCUGGUGUAGCGGUGAAAUGCGCAGAUAUCAGGAAGAACACCCGUGGCUAAGGCGGUUCUCUAGUACGGUACUGACGCUGAGACGCGAAAGCGUGGGGAGCGAACAGG